UUUAGAAAGGGCAAAACUUUUCUGGGUCCGCUAUUUUUUCACUUGUCAAUUCAGUGUAAAUGCAGAUUUGAACACCCAUUUGCUUCAUUUAUUAUGGGUUUGUUGUACCUGAAUGUUCUGAGGCUCUGAGCUUUGUUGCAGAAUGUACAACAAAUUUUGAUGGUCAAAUGUUAAUACAAAUCUGUAGUACCAUGUACAAAGCUUCAAUCUUUGCAAGAGAGAGGCUCUAUUUGUUCUAAGGCUUGAAUCAGGGACCCAUUGUAGGAGGCACAUUGUUCACAUAGCUGGGUUUGGUAAG
rnacentral:lncRNA from 1 species